rnacentral:rRNA from 1 species
GACGAACGCUGGCGGCGUGCUUAACACAUGCAAGUCGAACGAUGAAGCCGGAGCUUGCUCUGGUGGAUUAGUGGCGAACGGGUGAGUAACACGUGAGUAACCUGCCCUUGACUCUGGGAUAAGCGUUGGAAACGACGUCUAAUACCGGAUACGAACCGCGACGGCAUCGUCUGCGGUUGGAAAGAAUUUCGGUCAAGGAUGGACUCGCGGCCUAUCAGCUUGUUGGUGAGGUAAUGGCUCACCAAGGCGACGACGGGUAGCCGGCCUGAGAGGGUGACCGGCCACACUGGAACUGAGACACGGUCCAGACUCCUACGGGAGGCAGCAGUGGGGAAUAUUGCACAAUGGGCGAAAGCCUGAUGCAGCAACGCCGCGUGAGGGAUGACGGCCUUCGGGUUGUAAACCUCUUUUAGCAGGGAAGAAGCGAAAGUGACGGUACCUGCAGAAAAAGCACCGGCUAACUACGUGCCAGCAGCCGCCGUAAUAC